GGCAAGAACGACGGAGCGGUCGGACAGUUUUAAUUUUUCAGCGGCCACAAUUUUGUAGUGGGGAUUGGUUCGUGCUUGUGUUAUUGGUGGGAAGUGGGGAGAAACGCCUCAAUUUUAUUUGUUUCUUAUUUUGGACAAGCGUUUACUCAUUUCUAUUGGCCGAGGCAAAAGUUCAAAAUCCACGACACGCCUCACAAGCCUUGGAGACUUCUGUUUACCUUACAAAGUUUACAGUACAAUAAAAACUUAAAUUAGUAAAAUGUGUUCGAUUUCAAAAUUUCCUCAUGUGGUAUUACCUACUACAACACGUAAGUUUAUGUAGGUCACGUUUAUCACUCGUCCCACCUUCACGAUAAGACGUUUGAAGGAAGUCAUUCUAAUUAAAAUUUAACAUUAACGAUAUUACAGCACAGCGAUAACAGUAACGCCAGUUUGCACAGCUCAAUAUGGUUCACCACCGGUAUGUAAAUCCAUCACAAUUACAUUUUUGUUUUAAAAUUGUUCUUAUUCUAUCGCUCAUUUUGCAUUCUUCAAAGCGGAGUUAUGUAAAUACCUAGCCAUGUAUUCAAGUUUCUGAGAACUGAACGGUCAGAAUAACCAAGUGGGGAGUGAAGGUGCCCCUAAGUCAUAAAUUUUCGGGGUGAAAAUAAUCGAAAAACUAUGACCAAGCAUUUGGAAGUUUUAUUCGAAAAUUUUUAUUUUGUGCCAGUGGACGUCAACCAUAAGGAAUAAUGAUAAUAAUGUGUUAUUAUUAUUAUUCUGAGAUCGCUCCCAACAACUUUUUUUUUUAAUUUUUUUGAUUUUUUUUAAAUGUCAAUUGCCUAAUUGAAGUACACGCUCAUGCGCAUGUCGAGAAUUCGCCAGUUGACUUUUUGACUAAUAACGAGUUUUCGCUCAAUAUUCCUCAUUUAUUUGCUCUCAUUGCUCUAGUUUUGGUGUUUUUCAUCUAGCAGAUCGUCCGACAUUACCUAAGGGGGUAGAAUUCAAAGAAAAACUCAGGAAAAACUGAAGUGAGAUGCGACAAAGACAGACUUAUUAUUUAAUGAAUUAACGUAACGCACGUAAUGAUUGUUGUAAAAUUUGUAAGCAUUUUGAUUGGGCCGUUUGAGGUCGGCCAUUAAAAUUACGGAGAAAACCAAUCAUAAUAGAUUUUUGAAUUCAUUGAAAAAUUUCAGGUUUGGACACGAUUGGUCCAUUUAAGAUCGGCCAUUAAAAUUACGGAGAAGACCAAUCACAAUAGAUUUUUGAAUUCAUUGAAAAAUUUUGGGUUUGGACACGAUUGGUCUAUUUAAGGUCGGCCAUUGAAAUAUAGUGAGAAACCAAUCACCUGGGUUUUUUGGACUCAUUCAACAGUUUAAUAAAAAUGGUUGGUUUAAAUUCGAAAGCAAUCAGUAACUAAACCUUGUUUUUUUAAGCGACCUUCCUUAAUGCACUUCCCUGUCAAAAUUUUGUUUAUUUAUUGUUUUAAUGCCAAAAAAUUUUGUUAAAAAAAUACGUUUGUUUUGCCAAAUAUACUAUUUCUUUCUAAACCCCGAUUGCGGCAAAACUAAGACAGCUAGAAAAAACGCUUUAUUCUAUCGUAAAGAGCACAUCAAAAUCACCGGGUAGGAAGGGUUUUAUUCAUUUUGGAACACUUUUUUGUUUUUCUCGAAAACUAUUGUUCUUUUGUGUAAAAGAUAGAUAAUUAAAAAAGCUUUUCAACGAUAAUAAACUUCAUGGAGUUACCUCUAAUAGUUUCGGAGUUAUUGCUCGAUAAAUGUACCGGAUACCGAAAAUCAACAAAAAUCUCGCAAAAAUUGUAAAAAUCAAACAUCAAGAACUUGAAACAAUUGACUGUUUCUGUACUUUUAAGAACUAGAGAGAGUUGUAAAGCAGAGAAGUCCAUUUUCGAUGUAAAUGUAAAACAAAUGGUAUUUUUUGAAUCAAUUCAUACUUACCUUUUCUGUUUUGCUUCAUAAACUGCUUCUUAAAAUUAGUCUUUUAUUUUUUAAUUCUUCGGGAAAUUAAUACUAUGAUCAAAAAUUCAAUAAAUUAUAUUACAUUUAUUAUCUUAUUGCAAUUGAGUUUUUUGGAUAAAAUCAUCUAAAUAUUUUAUUAUAUCAGGUUUUUACAAAUCAUAAAAUAUUUAGAAAAAAAGAUUAAAAUUACAAUAAAUACUAUACGAAUAAAGAUGCCGCCAUUUUAGCGCCAGCUGCAUAUUAUUUUCCAACAAAAAUUUCGCCAAAAUUUGUUCUUGUUCUAUGUCGUGUGUAGGUAGUCUGUUGAGCUGCCAAAUGGAGACAUCAUUGAAGAAACCGCCCGUUUCAACUUCGACGGCGUUUUGUUAAACGAGAAGGCCCGUCCCACCUUCAACUUCGUCCUUGACGCGAAUUUGAACGCCUUAUUCAACGUUCCUUUGUUCAUAUCACUAGUGUCUAUAUCCAACUGAUGCGACUCGAGAUAAGCCAGAAACUUAUCCUAAAGAAAUUGAAAGAAUUACUUAUGACAAGGUUUUUUGAGUUGCCAAAACUUACCGCAUCAGGUGUGCAGGCGUUAUUGGCCAUUUGUUUCGUCAAGGUUUUCAGGAACCCUGCUUUAUCGGCAUCCUCGUCCGGCAUAGCAAACGAAUACACUCUCUCUUUCAAUUCGUCGUUAUUCCGACAAACGAAACAGAACACUUUCUGGCACUGCUCGGUUUCUUUGAUAUCUAUGACUUUCUUGAUCGUGUUCAAUGGCAGUAACUUGACGUGUUUGUACAACUUCGGCCUUUGCAAACUGUUGACACUGCCGGUCGGGCUUUUGGCGUUAUUAAACGUCUUUGACUUCUUUUUACACACUUCUACCAAAUCGGAAAAGAGGAAGAGGACCAAGGAGUUGCCUUUGCUCGAAAGCCCUUCAGUUGUUGACACUUGGAUCACUUCCGCCUUUGCUAUGAACUUCCGGUGGGAGCACACAAUGUCCGGUGGGCAGUUAUCAAUGUCGUUAAACAUGUUGAAAAGGGCCACUUGGGCUUCAGCUUUUCGCUUGUCUUCGUUUAUCAGGUCCAUGCCUUCCUUCAAACCGUCCAGAGCUCGCUGGAGUUCGGCAUGGUCCGGAUUAGAUUUCGGCGUAUGUUUCAGGAGAUCUAAAAGAAGAA